AAAAAAAAAAAAAAAAUCAGAGUGCAGAAAAUUCCAGUUUUGUAUUGAAGGUAACUUCGUGUUUGGAUGUCGAGAAAAUUUCUGGCAUUUCCAAGAGAAAAUUUGCUGGUCUUAUUUUUCAGAUCUCUUUGCAUUUUUUCCCUUUUUUUUAUUGAUUUAGUUCCAAUUAGAACUGUUUAAUUUGCUUUCUUUGUUUGUUACUAUUAAUGGAUUAUGAAAUUAAAUUGGAAAUGCGGUAAUUGUUAUCACGAUUCACGAUCUGAUUUUCAGGUCAGAAUUGAUUCUAAAUGAAUGGAGCAUCAUCAUGAUGCUGUAUUCUUUUAGAACUCAAUAAAGUCACAGAGUUUGUAUUAUAUAAUAAUCUCAAUAAUCCAAGAAUUAACUUUUCUGAUCUUACUAUUGCUUUGUUUAGUUUUAUAAUAAUUAAGCACUGUGAAGGCUUAUCCCAAAUUACCAUCUAAACCAGCCUAAACAAAAUGAAUCUGCGUAUUCACAUUGCCUUUUUGGUUAUGUAUUUGGGAUUGGAUAUACGAGUGCAUUGAAUCGCAAAUAAAUUGUUAGUGUGAUUUUGCAAAUAUGGCAUUGAAUGCAUUGUAAACUAGGCUGUAGCCUUUGAAUCAUUGGAUUUUUGUUUCAAAAUUGUGCGUCAAAUUGUUUUGAUGUUAGGUAUUAAUGAUUAGACGAGACGUAGCUAUAUGUGUUUUUGUAUAAAGUUGGUAUUUGUUUGGCAGGCAUAAGGAAAUGGCAGAAGGUGAGGAUAUUCAACCUCUCGUAUGCGACAAUGGUACUGGAAUGGUCAAGGUAUAUCCAGAGUCCUUUACCAACCCAUUUCUGAUGUCAAAAGGUUUAUUCUAAAAUUUAAGGAUUUUGGUUCUUAAAGUCAUUCUGAAUUCCUGAUUUUGAUUGC
rnacentral:misc_RNA from 1 species